rnacentral:rRNA from 1 species
AGAGUUUGAUCCUGGCUCAGGAUGAACGCUAGCGGCAGGCUUAACACAUGCAAGUCGAGGGGUAACAGGAAGUGCUUGCACUUUGCUGACGACCGGCGCACGGGUGCGUAACGCGUAUACAAUCUACCUUGUACUGAAGAAUAGCCCAGAGAAAUUUGGAUUAAUGCUUCAUGGCCUAUUAUGGUGGCAUCAUUAUAAUAGUAAAGGUUACGGUAUAAGAUGAGUAUGCGUCCUAUUAGCUAGAUGGUAAGGUAACGGCUUACCAUGGCAACGAUAGGUAGGGGCCCUGAGAGGGGGACCCCCCACACUGGUACUGAGACACGGACCAGACUCCUACGGGAGGCAGCAGUGAGGAAUAUUGGGCAAUGGAGGCAACUCUGACCCAGCCAUGCCGCGUGCAGGAAGACUGCCCUAUGGGUUGUAAACUGCUU